AUAUCUUUCAGCUUAUUAACCACGCUUCCACCUCCCUCAUAUUCUGCCUCCAUGAAGAAACCCUAGCCGCCUCCCUACGAAGGAACACCACGAAAAAAAACUAAAUCAAGUUAUUCAUCUUCUUUUUAUAUAAUUCAGUUCUAGAUGCAAAUGAAUCAAGUUUUUGUUUUUUUUUUCAUCUGUCUUUUGCUCAUUCAAGCUCACAAUUGGGGGAAGAAAUUUUAGGGUUUGUUAAAGGAGAUGGUCAGAACUCAGAACGACGGCAAUGGAUUGGAAUUCAGGGUUCUUCGAUCUCAUCUCGGUAAGAAAUUCUACGGUUUCGAUCGAAAUAACGUUGGGUAAGGAAUUCUUUGGAUAAAAUUAAGGUCAACUUCUCUCUAAAAUUAAGUUUAAUUUUGUUAAUUAUUGCGAUUUUAGAGCCAAUUCAAUCUGGAAGCAUGUUGUUAUGAACGCCACUGCGUUUUGACAUUGUUAAUGUUUUAUUGAUUAGGUUAAUUUUGGUUUUUCUUGUGAGUUUCGGCGAGACUAAGGUUUCAGAUCCACGAUUUAGGUUAUCAGAUCUACGAUUAUGGAUUUUAGAAACAAAAAUCGUUCUAGGGUUACGAUUUUUAUUUAAAGGUAGCAGUUAUCUAAUUCAUGUUAGCUCUUUCCCCAUCAUAUUUACACUAAUUUCUAAUUUCUAUACAUAUAGUAUGUCUAUGUAUUCGGUCUAGGGCCUUUAUAAACUACAUUGGUGAAAAUGGAAAUUGGCUCUGGCAAAGAUGAUUGCUAUACAAGCCGGAAAAGGUAUGGUGGAUCAUGCUACAAGAGGGGAAAGAAAAGUGAAGGUCGCAUCCGAUGAAAUCCUUCGUUUUUGGUGAUUCAGUUUUGUUUACUGUCAUUGAACAUUGUUAGUUUGUUUAUCAGUGGGUGAAUCAUCCUAAGAUGUUAGAUGCCGAAUGCAAGAGGACAUUUAAGGACACUGACUUUAAAGAAUGGAAGCUGGUGAUUCAAUAAAUAAUCAAGUUGGACAAAUAUACAAGUGGAAUGCGAAAGUAUCUCAUGGGGAUUAUAAUGUUGUGUGAAGGGUGUUUGAAGUUACUGUCAUGAUAGAAAGCUCUUCCUUCAGCUGAAGUGGUAUGGUUACGGAUCCUCAAGGAGCUUAAACUGUACCUUGAUCCGAAUCUUGAUUCAGUGCUCAUAGUGCCCGGGAUUGCUAAAUAACAUUUAAAUGCUAAAGAUGGUGAAACAGGGAAAGAAGAGCGAGUUUGGGUUCGGAUUUGGGUAGUUAAUUGUGAAUUUUAGAGAUAAACUUUGGUGUAAAUUUGAUCCUGAAUCGGGGUGGACGCAUUGCUAGCCAGACCCGAGGUCCAUGGGGUAUGGUUGUCGGUCUCUUUUAAGAACAUAACCAGUUUGGGUCGUGCCUGUUUGGACCUGGUAUACCACACGCCCCGCCACACCUUUUUUGUUAGGCUGUGAUGAGUGGCGUUAGACUGUAGCUGUCCGUACAUGUUGUUGACGCGCCAUUUCUCUCUUUCAUUGCCAUUAUGGAUGGUUUCCCUCUUUCUGGCAGUUUUUAUAUGUUUGUUGGCACUUUGGAACAAGAACAAUGGAAAAUAAGAAUUUUUGAAGAAACAAUAUGAAGUUGAUGUGAGAGUUGGCGGGAAACUAACGAUGUUUCAGAAGAUGGCUAAAUAUAGGAUGAGGGUGCCAAUACAAUUGUGCAUUGGUUGCAAGAAACCAUGUUACAGGUGGAGUGGAUUGGUUACUUAUCAUAUUACACGGUUCUCUAUGUAGAGAAGAAAAAAGUAAUGUAUAAAGAUGCACCACAAGAUGUGUAGAGCAUAGAAAUCUACUAUCUCAGAUUAUAUGAAGAUGUGAUUGUGUUUGAUCACGUGCAAAAGUUAAUGUGAACUGUCCCAACGCACAAAGAGAGCAUAUCCGGAGAAUAUUCAUUUGCUUGGACGAUUGGAUAGACGAAGGCUCAUGUUAUCGACAAAGUUUUGUUACCCCUUAAUGGCAAAUUGAGCCAAAUGGCCUUUCGUGUGACAACCAUCGAUGUCUCAGCUGUGGACUUGACCACGAGAAUGAAAGGCGUCUACUUAUGAGUAGGACAAGGCUGCCACUAGCAACUUUUGAAGGUUAUACGAAGCGAAGGGAUUGGAUGAUUAUACUUUCAUGGUUGGAUUCUUAUAACAGGCUAUACGAAGCGAAGGGAUUGGAGGAUUAUACAUUGGCCUUAGGAGAGACCCUGGCUUUAUACAUUUCAUGAUUCUAAAUCUGUAUAUAGUGAGUAUCAUAAACUCUAUAUCUACUAAGAAUGUGCCUCACAGUUUUGUGUUUGUGACUCAUGCGCCUCAUAGCAAUAUGUUCUAGAGUUGUAUGUACGACAUUCAGUGGGUUUGAAGUUAUAAUGGUUCUAAGGUUGUAUAUCCUACAUCAAUUGGGUAUAAAAUGAUUAAAGGUUGUAUAUAGUACAUCAAAUUGGUCUUUGUAAGUUUCUCUUUAUCAUAUUGUAGAAAAUGGAGUAUUUUAUUCUUUUGCAGAAAUUAAAUAUUUAUUAACAUGUCA